UGGCUGGGGAAGAAUCACCUGUAGAGCGGGCUUGGGAGAGCCUAGGCCACUUUGUUCCGCUCUCCAGGUGACCCCGACAUGCAGCCAGGACGGGGGCCUCCCAUCUAGAUGCGAGUUGACGGUUCAGCCCAGCAUCCUGAGCCAACUCCAGCCUAUCAGUGUCGUCAGUCAGAAGCUCCCAGUGGUGUCCCAGGGGCGCCAACACUCAAGGAAAAGCUGAUCCAGUCUGUCUGCUAUCAUCUCUCAGCCACACUCCCCAGCUCGAGAGGCAACAGUGAUUUCCCGGGGCAGCAAGGUGGACCAGUGCUCUAGCUGGACAUUCAAGGCCUCUGGAACUAGAGGAAGUGGAGACCGGGAGCUCAGACCUGAGCUGCCCCAGUUCCUUUUGCAGCAGCUCUAUGUCUUUGCCCGUCUCCAAGUCUCAGUUUGCCCAUCUGUGAAAAGGGUGGGUUGGCCAAUUUGAGCUCUCCAUUCUCGCCAGCCUGAGCUGCCAGUGGUUUGGCCAAUCUUCCCGUCCAGGUGACCCCUCCUGCGUCUCACACACACGAACCCCUACCGCUAGAUGCUGCCCUCGCAACCCUCCAACCUCCAGGUGAGCCUUUGCCCUCCCAUGAAAUGUCCUCCAGGCCACCCUCAUCUCUGCUUGUGGAAGUCCUGACCCUCCAGACAUCCCAGCCUGAAGCCCUAUGGUUGUCCGGUGCACUUGGUGGAGCUGUCUUCUAGAACGUCAGCGGGGGUGGGGGUCCCAACUGCCACUUGGUGAUGACAACGGCCGUCAUGCAGCACCUGACUCUCCAGGGCCCCUGCCCCGCCCUGAUGUCAUUGGUUGCCCCCAACAAGGAGUCACAUCUACCCGUGGCGCCCACGGGAGUGGGGACAGUGGAGUCACGAGGUGAACUGACAUGCCCAAGGCCACACAGUUCCUAACGGUCAGAGCCAAAACUUGAAUGGCCAGCUAGUUCCAGGAAUCCCCUUAUCACCCGGUUACUUCUAGCCAGGUCCGCUCCGCCAGGAGCUUCAAUCCACUGUGUGCCCAGAGAUACUCAACUACAGAUAUCCCUCGCGUCGCCCUAGGGAAUGAUUCGUCCAGUGGGAGACCGGGCAGAAGGAAUCCGGGAUGUGGACUAACCCCGCGGGGCUGCCCCUGGAGAAGAGGCCUGUGAUUGUCCAGGUCUGUCUGUGCCUGGAGGGUAAGUCAGGAGAAGGGGCGAGACCACUGUCCCCCGAGCCACACUCUCCACGACUCUAUCUGCCCGAUUCCUGUGCUACUGCUUAGCGGGUCCCAGACCAGCGUGGGGCGCAGAGCCCUAAAAUAAUACACGAACCUCUUUCUCUUGUUCGCAUCCACUCAAGAUCUUCCCAAUAUAGCAGCCCAGAGUCUGUCAACAGUUCUGUUCCAUGCCUACUUCCCCUCCCCAAAGGAUGCCAAGUCUGCUGGCCCCUCCCUCGAUGGGGGCAUCUCCCGUCAUGCCUCACUCUCAGCCCCGGCAAGAGGAGACCUCCCCAGAGGUGCUUGGAGAAGCCACCCCAGCUUCCGUCGUCUGGGUCCCUUGGAUGGGACCCGGGCCAGGGUGCAUCUGAGCGGCACUAGGGAAGAGGAGUCCAGGCGACCGGGGAUCGGCUGGACGUGGGGAAGAGGGGAGCGGAAACUGAAGGUGACACUUGGGGCUCUGACUUGAAAUGACUCAGGGAAGAUGGUCCUAUUCACUGAGGUGGGGGGUCCCGGAGAAGGAGCGGUUUGGGGACGGAGAAAGAGAGAUGAGCUUGAGAUCCAGGGAGACAGAGAGGACUGAGAGCUCCUCAAGGGAAUGUCCUUGUGCACAUGCGGACUGGAAGCUCAGGAGAGAGGUCUGGACUUGAAGAAGGUGCCAGAAGGUGGAAUGCAGUCAUCCACGGGAGCACACCCAUUUGCUCCAGUAGCAUUCGGCAGUCAGCGUUGUCACUAAAGCAAUCCCAAUGACUCACUUUA